AUUGAACGCUGACGGCAUGCCUUACACAUGCAAGUCGAACGGCAGCAUGAUCUAGCUUGCUAGAUUGAUGGCGAGUGGCGAACGGGUGAGUAAUACAUCGGAACGUGCCCUGUAGUGGGGGAUAACUAGUCGAAAGAUUAGCUAAUACCGCAUACGACCUGAGGGUGAAAGUGGGGGACCGCAAGGCCUCAUGCUAUAGGAGCGGCCGAUGUCUGAUUAGCUAGUUGGUGAGGUAAAGGCUCACCAAGGCGACGAUCAGUAGCUGGUCUGAGAGGACGAUCAGCCACACUGGGACUGAGACACGGCCCAGACUCCUACGGGAGGCAGCAGUGGGGAAUUUUGGACAAUGGGCGAAAGCCUGAUCCAGCAAUGCCGCGUGUGUGAAGAGGGCCUUCGGGUUGUAAAGCACUUUUGUCCGGAAAGAAAUGGCUCUGGUUAAUACCUGGGGUCGAUGACGGUACCGGAAGAAUAAGGACCGGCUAACUACGUGCCAGCCGCCGCCGUAA
rnacentral:rRNA from 1 species